rnacentral:lncRNA from 1 species
CGAGGAAAAAGGGGGGGGGUCUCUGUUCUGUAAUUCUUUUAGCCAUUCUUAUCUUUUCAGCAUUAAAAAAUAUGCUAAUACUUUAGGUUAUGUGCCCCUUUAGAAUUUGCACUACACAAAUGAAACCAUUUAUCAACUUUGUUAAAUGUCUGAUUGAAACGAAACACAGAAAAAUAGAAAUAUUUUAACUUAGCUUAUUUGUAAUAAUUUGGAUAUAUGGGAUAACAAUUUAAGCAGUAGAUAAGAUGAAAUUAGUUAUUAUAUUUGAUCUUAUCUAGUUUGUGGUAUAUGAGGAAAUAGUACCGACAAGCUAGCGCUGAGCAUAAAGUUUUAUAACAUAUAUACAGCAGCAUUAGUUAUCUGACAUUAAGAGUAAUCUGAAAUCUUGACAGAGUAAAAUUUUUUUUCACCAGAACAGGUUAGAUUUUAUUAUUGAUAGCCCAAUAUAGAAAAAAUGCUUAUAUAGUGAAAGAAAGAUAGGUUUUCCCCAACCCCAAAAAAAUCAAAAACAAUGUCAUCCGUCUUCGAGCAUUCGUCUUCCAGAUCUAUAAAAUAUAUUGUUUUUUUUUUUUUUUUUUUUUUUUUUUUAAAUUGGAAUGAAUUAUGGAUCUCUCAAAUAUGAAACUGAAGACGUAGGAAUCAUUCCGGCGAAAGAGACGUCCCUUAAAAUUAUCCAUAAAUUUUGAAAAUAUAAAGAAACUAAGGUUUCAACUCCAUUAGACAAAGUUGAUCUUCGUCUGCAUGAUUUGGCUAUUUAUAAGGUUCUGUUUGGUCUGAUAGCUCUUCAACUGUUUCUGUUCUUUGUGUGCAUGCUUCGUUCCAAAAAUCGAGAAUUAUAGCUCUUUGAUUGUAUGACUAGUUGUUGUAUUUUUUUCAGCUGUACAUAGCUUUUUGUUGUCAAUGGUUAUUUUUGUCGGAACUCUUUCACGAAAUUUCAUUGUUGUAAUAAUUAUUGACACAAUGUAGGAGAAGGAUGUUAGGUAAACUAAGUCUGCAAUGGUGGACGAAAAUACCGAUGCUUAUUAAUGAACAUAAUUUGCAUGGCUAAAAUCAUUGAACCAGUUCUGAUAACAUUUCAUUCCAAAUGAUAUACGUAUAUCAAUAUUUAAUUUGGUAUGCAG